rnacentral:hammerhead_ribozyme from 1 species
AUGUAGCCGAAGAGUCCACAACUGGACGAAACAUGCGUCCUACAU